rfam:Hymenolepis nana genome assembly, scaffold: HNAJ_scaffold0000581
GGUGUGCGAUAGACUUACCUCCACGUGGUGCACUCUGGGUAACGUAUAUUAAUACGGCAAAAAAGUUCAU